rnacentral:rRNA from 1 species
UUGUAGCAUACAAGGCAUACGGCUCAGUAACGCGUAGUCAACCUAACCUAUGGACGGGAAUAACCUCGGGAAACUGAGAAUAAUGCCCGAUAGAACACUAUACCUGGAAUGGUUUGUGUUCCAAAUGAUUUAUCGCCAUAGGAUGGGACUGCGGCCUAUCAGUUUGUUGGUGAGGUAAUGGCCCACCAAGACUAUUACAGGUACGGGCUCUGAGAGGAGUAGCCCGGAGAUGGGUACUGAGACACGGACCCAGGCCCUAUGGGGCGCAGCAGGCGAGAAAACUUUGCAAUGUGCGAAAGCACGACAAGGUUAAUCCGAGUGAUUUGUGCUAAACGAAUCUUUUGUUAGUCCUAGAAACACUAACGAAUAAGGGGUGGGCAAGUUCUGGUGUCAGCCGCCGCGGUAAAACCAGCACCUCAAGUGGUCAGGAUGAUUAUUGGGCCUAAAGCAUCCGUAGCCGGCUCUGUAAGUUUUCGGUUAAAUCUGUACGCUUAACGUACAGGCUGCCGGGAAUACUGCAGAGCUAGGGAGUGGGAGAGGUAGACGGUACUCGGUAGGAAGUGGUAAAAUGCUUUGAUCUAUCGAUGACCACCUGUGGCGAACGCGGUCUACCAGAACACGUCCGACGGUGAGGGAUGAAGCUGGGGGAGCAACCGGAUUAGAUACCUGGUAGUCCCAGCUGUAACUAUGCAACUCAGUGAUGCCAUACUGUGGUCAAUGCAGGUGCCUGG